rnacentral:rRNA from 1 species
UACGUAGGUGGCAAGCGUUGUCCGGAUUUACUGGGCGUAAAGAGCGCGCAGGCGGUCGUCCAAGUCGCGUGUGAAAGCCCCCGGCUCAACUGGGGAGGGUCACGCGAUACUGGUCGACUCGAAGGCAGGAGAGGGUAGUGGAAUUCCCGGUGUAGUGGUGAAAUGCGUAGAUAUCGGGAGGAACACCAGUGGCGAAGGCGACUACCUGGUCUGUUCUUGACGCUGAGGCGCGAAAGCUAGGGGAGCAAGCGGG